rnacentral:lncRNA from 1 species
AGGAACUGAAGUGUUCAUUCUCAAACAAGAUGAAACGAAAAAUAGAGAGAGAGACAGCUAUAUAGAAAAUGUAUAAAUAGUAUCAAACCAUUUUUGGAAAAAUUUGUACACUAAAAAACUGAAUACAAGUAAUACAUGAGGAACCAGAGAGAGAGAGAGAUGUAUAAAACAAACACCACCAAGAGUGAGAGCACAGACAGCAAGUCUUGUAUUUUGUUGCAUUCCCAAGUAUCAUUAACCUCCAAGUUUCACAUGAUUUUAUAACUUUAAGCUAUGUCAAGGUUUAGGGUUGGAAAUCUUUGACGUGAUUAGUUUAUACGAUUCAUCACGUAGUUUAGCAAGUUAGGCAUAAACAGAUUCACGUCACAAAAUGGGACUCAUGAAAAUUUUAGGUACAAACAGGUUAACUUGCGCAACCCCAAUUAAUAUGAAUAACCUGUUUAAGAUAUUUUUAUAGACGAAUUAUGAAAUAUAUGAAAUUAUUUGAAACUCAGUGUGUUAUUAUAUAUAAAUAUGAUUCCUUGUACAUCUAUAUUUUCAAAAAUCACUGAUACGAGCAUGAAGAGUAAAGUUCUUCAACAACAAAAUGUGUAAGGAAGCUGUAACACUUUGCAAGAAUACCCAUCAAAAGGUUUCAAAUGGGAAAUCAAGGUGUUUUAAGAAAGAUCCAGUCAGUCAUGAUGACUACUAUCUUUGGAAAGCAAGAAAAUAUGCAAGGAAAGAUGUUCAG